GGAGGGAGGGGUGGGCGGCGGUGGACGCCGCCGACUGCUGGCGGUGCGCACAAGUUCAGUGCUGAACUUCCCGCUCUUAACGAGACCUGGGAUCCCUUUGGAGAGGCCCUCGGGAGCUGGCGGCGGGGCUGGGAGUGGCGUGGGCCCGGCUCCUCUUCUGCUCAGAAUGAAUAAUGGUGGAUGACUGGAUGACAUCCCCAGCGGCCUCCCACGGUGAGCUCCCCAGUCCAAACCAAAUGGUUCCAGGGAUUAGGAUGUGGACAUAUUUUUUGAGAAGCCACCAUUCAAUCUACUACAGGAAGUAUAUUCAAUGAACAGCAGACUGAAAAAUUCCUUAAAAGAACUACUAGAAAGUCGUAUGUUAAUAAAGCAUCUUUGAGAAGUUGAUAGUUUUCUCCCCAUUGUACAGAUGACAGCACAAAGGCUGAGAGAGGCUCACAGACUUUCCUGAUAUCCUACAGCCACCAGGAUGCAGUUCCCGGUCCCUCGCCACACCUUGAGCUGCCUAGACUACUCUGGGGCUUCUUGCUGGUGACCAGCUCCAUUUUCAAACCCUCGUUUAUGGAGUUACAUAAACGUGGCCAGAAACAGAUUGUCCAAUCAAUCCUGAAAUGACUUUCUGCUUAGGAAAACCUUCACUGAAGGCAGUGUUCCCACAUAUGGCCAGGUACCUUUCCCCCUCCGUGUGUCUUGGAGCAGAGAACGCUAUUGGAAAUCAGUGGGAGGUCUCUGCACAAUCAAGAGCAGGGAAUGAGAAGCAGGAUGUGAAUCUAUUCUGUAAAGUGAAAACUUAAUGUCCUAACAAAUAAUUAAAAAAUUCGAGGUUGAGUUUCCACAGCUGAUCAUCGCUGGCAGAGCCAACUUCGGAUGAAACACUGCUGCUCAGUGGUUUUGACAUUCUCAGUCAGGCAUAUCUUGAUGAAAUUAGAGAUGCAGAAAAUAUUUUUUGAUGGAGUACAGAGACAAAACAGCUAGAAGGGAAGCCAAUUCUGUGUGCAAACUCAUGCAGACCGAGAUAAAGAGGAAAAGGGAAAGCAGGAGAGUACAGAACGUGUGCUCGUGUGAGUGUGUACAGAUGAAGAAAGAUGAAAGCAAGUUAUAGAAGAGGAAAGGGGAACCUGGGGUUAUACUAAUUAAUCAGACUUUAAGAUCUUGGCAGCAAGAGGUGUGUUUAUAAACAAUCUUGACUAAAACAUACCUUUCCAACUAUUAACUGUUUUAUAUGCCAGAAAUAGUAUCUAAUUAUUCUGCACUUGUUUUAAUCCAAAAGUGGAAAGGAAAAUAUUAAUAAGUGAAUACAACCAUUCUUAUGCUAUAAUAUAGAUUUCUGCACAGACAUUAAUGUUUCUAAUGCUCAAUUAAUGAAAUGUGGCCAAUUCAAAUUAUUUUACAAGAAGAUUAGGUGGGAAGCUAUUAGUCAGAAGGCUUUCAAGCUAGUAGAAAAGAAAAAUUAGACAAAGAUAUAAGAAAUAAUAGAAUGCUAACCAUUCAGGAAUCUCUUAAUAGCAUGCUAAUAUUAAGCCACCAGCAAGCCAACUAGUUUUCCUCUUGGAAUUUAAUUCUAGAAAAGCCUGAUCCAUGAGGAUAGAAUAAAGAUUUGCAGACAUGCCAAGCCUUGUUUUACAAAUUAUCUUCCAUGUAUCCUUUCUGUGGAAGUUACUAGAGGAUGUGCUCCAUUAAAAGGAGGAAAUAAAUCAAGAAAUAAAAAUACAUGGGAUCCAAUAAAAUGAAGAUCAAACUCACAAAUUAGGCCAAAGGACUUCCAACAUACUCCCCAGGAUAACAGAAAGGGAAGCUACCAGAAAACAAUUUAGUGGGCAGACUGGAGCAGUGGAUGGAGACUUCAGGGGAAAAAGAACACAUACAGAUUACUUCAUGUAUUUAAAGACACUUUACAACUCUGUUGGAGAGUUUGGGUCUGAAUUAGUAAAUCAGUGAGAGAUUUAUAGAAAAUAAAACAAAUUCAAUAGUGAAAGGAUAAACAAACUGUGGUAUGUUCACACGAUGGAAUAUUAUUCAGCAAUAAAAAGAAGAGCUAUCAAGCCACAAAAGGACACAAAGGAACCUGAAAUGCAUAGCUAAGUGAAAGAAGUCAGUCUGAGAAAGCUGCAUACUAUAUGAUUGCAACUAUAUGACAUUCUGGAAAAGGCAAAACUACAGUGAAGUAAAAAUAUCAGCGGUUCCCAGGGAGUUUACUGGGGACAGGGUGAAUAGAUGGAGCAAAGGGUAUUUUUAGAGUAAUAAAGCUAGUCUGUAUGAUACCGAAAUGGUACAUACAUGACAUUAUGCAGUAGUUAAAACCCAUAUACUGUACAACACAAAGAGUGAAUCCUAGCUCUGUCUCCAGGAACAUGCACCAAGGAAAGGCCAUGAGAGCACACAGCAAGAAGACAGCUGUCUAUAUGCCAGGAAGACAACCUUCACAAGACACUGAAUCUGCCAACGCUUUGAUCUUGGACUUUCAGCCUCUAUAAAUUUCUGUUGUUUAAGCCAAAAAAAA